GCACCCUACUAUUAGAGAAAGACAACAUACCUUCUUUCCAUAUACCAAGCAUUGAUAGAAGGUAUGGUGUCUUUGUCUUACACAUUGACAUAAGAGAGUCUGUCUUUCUCUAACAGGGUGCCACUUAUGCUAACCUACACACGCAGUCUAUCUCUCUUAUGUCUAUGGUCUGAACACAAGUAAAGAGGUUAUGUUAACAGCACAGCACAAGAGGUUAUGGAGUCGGAAUUUCGAAACCUUUUAUUUAUUGAAAAUAUGAUUUUUCACUAACAUAGUGGGAAAUAUUAGUGAUGCUUUUUAUGUAGAUGUAAUUUUUUUGCGCAAUAUUUAUAAAUUCGUCUAAAAUAUACAUAUUUUAGUGUUUCAUAAUAGGGGGAUGCUGUUUCAUAAAUGGGUGCCAGUGAGAAAAUCAUUUGCAUAAUAGGGCCUAGAAAUGCUCCCAUUAUUUUGUUUAUAAAUUAUUAAAUAUGAUAUUAAUUAAAAAUGUGAAUCAGAAUACAGAUUCUACAUGAAAUAGUGCACCCAAUAAGCCACAAUAGUAUAUGGUUUGAUACUAUUUAUUUAUUUAUAAUAUGAGGAGAAAAAAAAGUACCCAAAAAUCGUUCCAUAAUAGGCGACUUUACCUUACCUAGUCCAAUAUACCCCCAAAAGGACACAAAAGCUGUCAUUUUUUAUUUUAUCUUCGUACACUUUACAGAAUAAAAAAAAUUAAGUUCAAAAUAAAAGUCACAAAGAUGGUGAAUUAUUGAUUUAAAAUGGAAAGUGUUACUACAAUGUCAAAGAAGACAUUAUUGAUUAUUGAUUAUGUGGUACUUACUUCGGUUAACUUUUUCUUCUCCUAAAAAUGAACCCGUUAAGGCAGUAAUGACAAAAGUUAGAGAGUUAACAACAACAACUGUCAAUGACAAAUCUGUUUGUUGAAGUAAUAAAACAUACAGCAAUGAACCAGUUUGAUUAACCAGAAAAGGAAGCAUGUACUAAGAUGACUUCACUCUAUUUAUUCCCUCAGCCCCUUUCUUCAUAAAAGGAUUUGUUACACCCCAUAAAAAAGCAACAGUUACAAGGCCGAAUGCAGUCUCUAAAAAAUAACAUUAUGAUCUAUGUAAGUUUAUUACUUUAUAAAGUAUAUAAUAUGCAUGUAUAGCUCAAUGCAUAUACCUAUAUAUAAAAUAUAAUAACCUAUACAAAUAUUGAAUGUUAUGGAAUUUUUACAACAACAAACAAAUCUUUACAAUUACUUACAUUCUUUAUUAAAUUUGUUUUAAUUUAAAUGAGUAUCACACUGAUUAAUAUUUACAUAAGAAACAAUAACAAAAAAGAUUUUGAACGCCGAAACUAACCUCCAGUUAGAGGCAUGUUUUAUUUUUUUCUGUAAGUGCCACUCUCCAGAUUCCCUAGAAACGUUUUUCUCUAAAGGUGUUUUUCUAUUUGUUCUAUUUAUCCAAAAAUUCCUGUCUCUACGAAUGUUUCUCUAUUUAUUCUAUUUAUUCAAUAAUUCCUAUUAUGAUAUAUAUACCCUUGCCUAUCAGUAUUUGGAUACAUACAUACAUAGAGAUUUCAUUAUACUAACCAUACCUUAUUGCUCA